GUGGGCAGUUUUUCCUGAACUGUUGCUGCAAUUAGAACAUUUCGUAGUAUAUUACAAAUCGCAGUUCUAUAGCGCAGUAGAUUACAUGGGAAGCGAUUGCUGCUCUACACACUUCGACAAGUAUUGGCUGCAACCCUUUCCAACAUCUGGAGAAGAGCGCCGUUUAGUGGGAGGUAGGUUGCCAGCGUCAGUAUAUUCUCAGUUAAACAGAAUUAAUCAAGUUAAACUUUUUGUAUGUGUGAAUUGUCCAAUUUCUGUCCAUAGGCUUACAUCUAAACUGCCAAGUUGACUCUAAAAUGUCCACGUCAAACAAAAAUGGCAGACUUUGUAUCUUUUAGGGCAUGCUUCGUGGGAUUUUUAUUACAGCUCUACUCUGUAUACACCUGCUUACCAAAUGUCAUGAAGAUAAUUCUAUUACUGCCCACUGUGCUGCAGGCCAUUAACAAGGUGUCUCCAGCUCAGUCCUGUUCUCGUCACUGGUGAGCCUCACAGAAACUCGUAGAGAUAAAAAUGUCAUGUUUGAAUUUGUUUCAGCAAAUAAAGCUGAGCAACCAGCAGGAGCCUUAAUUCCUGUGAUUAUAUCAUGGUGAAGGUGGAAACAUGUUACAACACCCAAAAUUGAUUAAUUUCCAAUGGUGAGGAUGGUAAAAGAUUGUGCUCUACACUAGACCUCAUUGUUAACUCACACACUCCAGGCUUAUUGAAGAAGCAAGUUUCUGAAGUCUGGUUCAAGUUGUCAGUUUCCUCCUGCAUGCUCAUCUGCGUUAAAGACAAUCUUCUGAAGGAGGGUAAGGACACAAGAUGACUUGCAGCAACCAAUCCUGACAUCCUGCUUUUUGUGUGCAGUCUUGACAACCUCUUGGUGACGUCAUCCAGAGCUGCAAGAGGAACAAGAUGUACGAAGCUGGCCUGUCGCCAUGUCCGCUGGGUUGAACACGCUGAAAAACAAAAGAUGCCUUAAAGAUUUUAACUUGUUUCUCUUCUGUGGGUCCAAAGCUGCAGUCAGGACCCUCAACAAGGGCGGCUUCCGGUCCAGGCCUUCCUCUCACUCUGGUGCCCUCCUCUUCCUCAGCUGAAGGACAACAUCCAGAAGGUGACAAAGCCAAACUAUGAAGAAGUGGGGGGUGAAUUUGAGAAGCCAACAUUUGAGCUGUUGGCUGAGGAACAUGUUCAGCUUCCUGGUAAUAUAGCUGGGCGAGGGCACAAAGUCAAGAACAUCCUCUUUCCUUGCAGGAAAUUAAGGUCUUCUGCGAAAUAGAGGAAUUCUUCAGUCUGGAGUUAAAGUUGGACGCGUCGGUCGCGGGUGUCCCGGUGCCACACGAGCCCCACGACAAGUACAAACCCAUAAGAAGUAAAGCGACAAAUUCGCACAGCAGACCUCCGCCAAGGCUUCAUGGUUCCAGUCUGUCCCCCACCAGAUUUUGUGUUGUCCCCGGGCAACCCGUGGCUGUAGGAUAACUCAAAGCACCAGACGGAGGUGCUGCAGAGCGUGUGGGGGAGUGAGUACGUGCAGGAGAACCUGAAGGGCUGCACCAAGAACAAGCACAUCUUCAUGCAGAUCUCUGACGCCCUGGCCAGCCAAGGCUACCAGCGCAUGCCCGAACAGUGCCAGACUCAAGAGGCUCAAGUACAGCUUCCGGCAGUUCCUCGACGGCAGGAAAGGAGACAAACAGGAGUGCAAGUAUUUGACCAGCUGGUCAAGAUAUUUGGUAACAAGGACGUCAUCUCUGACCAGCAUUCCGACGAUGUGGCUGAUGUUUUUGAGUCGUCAAAUAAAAGGCACUUGGUCGACAUUCCAAAUCCAGGAGGCACAAGGAGGUCGACGAAGAAUGUUCAACCGGGACAUUCAUGCUGGGAAAAACUGUGACGACGUCUGCACUGAUGCCAUAUUUGGGCGCGUCCGCCCACGCCCCAGCCUCACCCCAAUCCCAAACCAAGACGCUCAGAAGGGAUGCGGACGUCUUUCUUCAGAACUGCUGACCUUUUCCCCCAAACAAAUGUCCACAAUCUUGUUUGUACUUGAUGACACUUCACAAGUCCAAUCUAUUACCUUUCUACUUCAUUUUAGACACUAUUGUUGUAUACAAUUUUAAGAGCGAAAGAAUGAGAUACAUUCUGUUUCUUAAUCACGUCAGACGUUUUAAGCAGAGUUCUAUUUAUUUUAAACGUUUCUGUAUGUGAUCCAAAGGUUUGUAGCUAAUUUAUUUUUCAGUCACUGAGUUUGUUCUUCCUGUUCAUGUGUAUAAUCAUGAUGUUUUUUUUUUUUUUUUAUUGGUGAAAAGUGGUUUAAUUUGAGGAUGUACUGCUGUAAUUUUCAUGUUAGAAUUUCACAGUGGGAUCAUUAUAAGUGAAGCGCCCAUAAGGGGGACAGAAAACUGUAUGUUACUGUCAAUUGCAAACUGAGUGAAAUGUCGCCGUCUUGUGGCCAAUCUAAAGAGUUACACCAAGGUGGGCAGUUUUCUGAACUGUUGCUACAAUUACAAUUCAUAUUAUAGUAAGCGGCUCAGCAAAUGGAUGGAUGGAUAUUAUUAAUAUAAUUAUUAUUCAUGAUUAUUUAAUAUGUAUUGAAAUUUGAGGUAAAUUGUGGAGAUCAAACUUGGUGACCAUUCGAAAUUGUUGUCUUAAUCCAUUCGGCUAUCCUCCUGUGACAAUUUAAAUAACAUAAAACGGUCGAGAAAGACACGGGCACCCACAGAGUUUUGGUGACGGCUGAGGUGCGAGGGUGGCCGUGGUAUCCUCACCCUGAAAUUAUGAAGACGCACGCAAAAUGCUUCCAUUUUCUUCCGCUGAGAAUUGUCACAGCAAAACAGACGAAUCAUUUACUACUUUGCCUCCGGUCCAUGUGAUCUGGGUUCCAUCCCCACUUGCUGCUCUAUUUAUUUACCUAACUCCAAAUAUUGAAGCUUUCCAAACGGAGAAGCAAAUAAAUUCUAAGAAUGAAUAAAUGGAGGGAGAAAGCAGGGCUCGAACACUAGUCAAAGUAAACCCUAGUCAAGGUCUUUGACCACUCGCCAACACUGCGUUUGAAAAUUAAGGGUUCUUGUCGUACUCAUCAGUUUGGUGUCCUUCAGUACUUCCAAAUAAAUGGUCGUCAGCUUAAAAAAAAGGCACUUGAGCGCCUCGCGUUGGGGGGGGCGACACUGGCCGACAUUCAUGACACUACACAU